AGCGGGGACAAUCGGAUGACACGCUUUACGGCAGAAGGUUCGUCUUUACGACGUCGAUGCCAGGAUACCUUUUGUCUGGGAGUGGAUCAUUAUUGCUGCAUUUUUAAUAGCUUGUAUCGUAUUUUACCUACUGCCAGCUGUACCUUCAGGGUGAGGAAGAAAUACAAUGGAAGUUCUCCGUCCGACACUCAUUAAUAUCGAUGGACGGAUUUACCGCAAAAACCAUGUUAAAGAACAGGUGUAUCAACAUGAGGAGGAAGAUGACUUUACCUAUUCAGGAGUUGUAGACUGUAUGGAUGAACCUUGUGACUCUGUCCUUAUAGAACAGACAGACCAAGGCUAUCGAUGCACCAUGGAUGUACCCAGUGCACUGUACAAAUAUAUAAUUGGGAAGAAAGCGGAGACCAAACGCAGACUAGAGACUGAAACACGGACUUCCAUAAGUAUUCCUAAACAUGGAAUGGAAGGACCCAUCGUUAUCACUGGGCAGCAGCGAGCGGGAGUGGCAUCAGCCCAAACACGGAUUGAGGUGAUGUUGGACAGUUUCCGCAGGAAGCAACCCUUCACCCAUUUCCUGUCGUUUGCUGUUAAUCAUCCCACGAUUCAGGAACAAUUUAUGAAGUUUAAGGAGGAGGUGUUGGAAAGCCACUCCCAGGACCGUGGGAUUGAUGACAGUAUUUUCCAGAACCCAGCAAAACUACACCUGACCAUAGGAACACUCAUCCUACUUAAUGAGCAAGAAGUUACAAAAGCCUGUGAACUGCUACAGAAAUGCAAGGAGGACUUUAUUGAUAAACUCACAGAUGGAAAGCCGCUUCUUGUGAGGGUGAAAGGGAUCGAGUACAUGAACGAUGACCCAAGUAUGGUUGAUAUCCUUUAUGGAAAAAUUGAAAUGAAAAAUGGAACAGACAAGUUGCAGCUGAUUGCUGAUGGGCUGCUGGAGCGAUUUAUUGCCUCAGGGCUGAUGGGGAAAGAAUGGGACAAGGUGAAACUCCACACUACUUUGAUGAAUACACUUUUCAGAAGAGAUCCAACAGUGGAAGAACGAAACAACACUGCUUUGGGGAAGCAGAAUUUACGUGAAAGGGAAUCAUUUGAUGCGAGAAAUGUGUUAAAGAAAUUUGAAGAUUACUUUUUUGGUGAAGUGGAGCUGAACAUGGUCCAUAUCUCCCAGAGGUUCUCAGCUGACAGUUCUGGGUUCUAUUCUUCUUCUGGUUCCAUCAGCUUUUCUUAAAAGUUGUGAAGUUGUUGAGCCCUGACUGGUUGACAGGAUGUGUGCAAGAUCAAUCGCUGCACCCCGCCAACCCAAAAAAAAGGCGAUAGCUAAGUCUCGCAGCUGAACUUGGAAACCACGGCAGAACAGACUCACGUGGCAUUUAAUAGAAAAUGAAGCAGAGUUUCAAUGGGAUAAAUUUAACCUCCUUUUUCUGAAGCAAGGACUGAAUUGUUGUGACUCUUUUGGCCUUGGAAUGACAGAGUAAGAUGCUCAUUUAAGCUCCCUUUUUUUGACCCAACAUUGUUCCUCAGAAGGAUACAUCCUAUUGCACCAGUUUGGCAUUUUUCCAUCCCUUUGCCAAUCAUCCCAUGCUCUCUUGGGCGGAUCGCCAUCUUCAUCCUACAUGCACCACCACAGACUGCUUAUAUGCGUUUUGUAGAUGACCCUUAGGGUCAGCAGGCAGAGGAGACUCUCUUAAUACCAUUGCCACUCCAGAACUGGAAACAUGAGACCAGCUUGCUAACAUUCUGCUCCAGCCUGCCCUCUGAUUGCUGGGAAUGGUCUCAGCCUGUCAGACAGUUGCAGGGAAUAUUUGGUUGCAACGUGUUGUGUGUCCACAAUUCAAUAGAUUUCCCGGAACUCACCAGUGGAAAGGAAGAUGAGAACAUAUUGGAACUGAGGAUUCAAAGGCAUAAUAAGCAAACGUGUGAAUAGAGUACUGACAUCUGCCAGCUGCUUUCCUACCAACUUCUGUGAAAGGCUUUGAUCGUGAUACUUCUGCUGAGAGGUUACUUUGACACCUAUGUAGGUCUGUCAAUAUGGUCUACUCUUUGGAGCAUUAAUCAGAUGUUGCCACUGCUUUGCUGUUUUUAUUUCGAUUUCUCUUGAAGGCCAAGAGGUCCAGUGGUAUCAGCACGGCCUGCUAUUCACAGACCAGCAGCUCCAAAUGAGAGCAGCUCUUGGGAGAUCACUCCUGGCACACAGCAUCUGCAGGAAGCAGGAUGCAGUCCAGCCCCUGCAGAACCCAGUAAUCCUGGAAAGCCUUCAGAGGACCAUGGAACACUGCACGCUCCCUCUCCAAGGACACCCGCAUACAGGCGUAUUUGCAGGAGAGGGGCAGGCAGUUGGCUUGAACAGGACCUUCACCAGCUUGCUACCUAGACGUGUAAAUAGCUACUGUGGUCAGGUCCAGGAGUAGACCGACAAGAAGGACCCUUUCCCUGUAAUGAUACCUGUCAGUGUGAGCAAACUCGCAGGUUCACAACUAUGGCUGACAUCCCACCAGGGGACAAUGUCAUCAGAGGACACUUGCCCGUCAUUAUGCAACCACAAAACUACCAGUGAGCAAGAUUCUCAGACGGCUGUAAUUGUGCUUUUGUUCUCAGACAUUCCACUUUCCUUGAUCUCUUUACACACCAACCUACCAGCUCACUGCUCAGGGAUGAGGGAUGUCUGCUAGAGAUGCUCAGCAAGUCAGGAGAGAGAAGGAAAAUUAACAUUUCAAGUCGAUGACCUUUCAUCAGACAUCAUCUGACCUGUCGAGAAUUUCCAGCGUUGUCUGUUUUAUUUCACGUUUCCCACAUCGGUAUUACUUUUGUGUGUGUAUACCCACUUAAAAUGUGCUUGAUAACAUUUGUGAGGACCCAACCAAUAAACCCCUGGAAUAAUAGAAAACUACAUGUCUCGUUGAGCUUGUCGAAGAUCGACAGGGCAGACACAAGCAGCUGCUACCACUUGUGCAGUCAUCGAGCAGGGUGUUACUGGAGCAAGGACUGUGCAAAGGACUGUCAGGGAUUUCAGCUGCACUGUGUAUGCUUGCAGUGGCACAAUUGUUGGUGAAGGAAGGGAACUGAAGGGAUGGGAAGCAACCUUUUGCAUAUGGUCGUCAGACGAGUAGACCAGAGGAACCUAAGUGAACUUGCAACAUUCUGAGUUGACAUAAGCAUUCUGUUCUACUUCUUCCUUGUCGAUGGAAUUGUCCAAAGAUAUUCGGCUUCUCCUGCAGGUCCAGUUUUUGAUCCUGUGCAAUGUUGUCCAGAGGAUAUAAGGAAUAGCAGAGAUGGCCCAUACAGGCCUUUCAGCCUUCUCUGCCAAUCACUAAUGUCAUGUCUGUGCCUCAUCCAUUUUCCUGGCUGAUCUUCAUAUUCACAUACAUCCACAGCCCUCUGGGGCACAGAAAUCCAAAAGGUUUUACUGCGUGGAAAGAAAUUUCUCCUCAUCCCAGUCCUAAAUGACCGAUCCUUUUAUGCCACGACUACCUGCACCAACAGCAAAGUGAAACAGCCUCUCAGCAUCUACUCUGCCUUUCAUACACUCUCCAUUCCAGUUCCUGCCUCCACCAUCUGCUCUUAGUCCCUUGUUAUGUAUGAGUCACCAGGUGAAAACCCAACCACCUUGUCUGUUCCCAGCUAGAGAAUAUGCUUAGUGUUUUUCUUAAAGGGUAUUUACAUGAACAAGUUCGACUUUUACGACAAUUUUAAGCUGCUUUUACUUUUUUGCUGGAGCUAUUUUACUGGUUAAUCAGAUUAGAAUUUGCCAUGGCAAGAUCCAGCCUUUUAACCUGUAGUUUGCUAAUUCUAUAGUAUAACAUUUCCCCAGUAAAGAUCAUAAUAUUGUAUUUAUAUUGAUGUGUAUCUAUGUUACUUCCUCCAUGAAUAAAGGACACAGUCUCACUCCAAUGUUCAUGACCUCUAGAGCGAU